AUUGAACGCUGGCGGCAGGCCUAACACAUGCAAGUCGAACGAGUGGCGGACGGGUGAGUAAUGUCUGGGAAACUGCCCGAUGGAGGGGGAUAACUACUGGAAACGGUAGCUAAUACCGCAUACCAUCGGAUGUGCCCAGAUGGGAUUAGCUAGUAGGUGGGGUAAUGGUUCACCUAGGCGACGAUCCCUAGCUGGUCGGAGAGGAUGACCAGCCACACGUGGACGUGGACACGGUCCAGACGCCUACGGUAGGCAGCAGUGGGGAAUAUUGCACAAUGGGCGCAAGCAUGGUGCAGCCAUGCCGCGGGUAUGAAGAAGGCCUUCGGGUUGUAAAGUACUUUCAGCGAGGAGGCGUUACUCGCAGAAGAAGCACCGGCUAACUCCGUGCCAGCAGCCGCGGUAAUAC
rnacentral:rRNA from 1 species